rnacentral:rRNA from 1 species
UACGUAGGGGGCAAGCGUUAUCCGGAUUUACUGGGUGUAAAGGGAGCGUAGACGGCAGAGCAAGUCUGAAGUGAAAGCCCGCGGCCCAACUGCGGGACUGCUUUGGAAACUGCCCGGCUAGAGUGCCGGAGAGGUAAGCGGAAUUCCUAGUGUAGCGGUGAAAUGCGUAGAUAUUAGGAGGAACACCAGUGGCGAAGGCGGCUUACUGGACAGUAACUGACGUUGAGGCUCGAAAGCGUGGGGAGCAAACAGG